rnacentral:lncRNA from 1 species
GAUACCCAGAGGCAUGGACAGACUCCAGAAGAGACCAACUGGAAAAAUGAGUGUCAGCAAAUGGUACCCUGGAGUUGGGAGGCUUACAAAUGCCCCCCCCCCCUUUCCCUAUAUGAGCUACACACCACCCUCCUAAGAGUACCCAUCCUCUGGCUGUGUUCUUUCUUCUUGAACGCCAAUCAGAGUGAAAGUUUACCUACAGCCCAUGUGGGGUGGGAAUUCAGUCGGCAAACACAAGAAACCUUGGCUCUAUCCACAAGACAGGUGGCAGGUGAAGGACCGGGAGUUGGGCCCCUGGAAACCACUGAUCUUUUUACAGUGUCCACAGCUUUGUCUUCUCUAGGAUACUAUGAAAUGUUAUGUUAUGAAGUUUGAAUCGUGCAGCACAUAAGCAUUCCAGAUUUGUCGCCUGCACUUACGAGUGUGUCAUAAGGAGUUGUCUACGUCUCUUCAUGAUGGCUCUAGAGACUGGCAGGAGGUUUUGGAAGUGGUUGAUUGAUGCCUCGGCCCAUUUGUGAACUCUUCUUCAGAUGGCCUGCAGGUUCCAUUUAAGUCUCUCACAAGAGAGUCAACUUAAAUCCACGGAGAUAGGCAUAAUUGGCCCUAGUCUACAGACUAUGCGCACGGCAUUGGUGAAGACGGAGCUUCCUGCUUAAGGCCACAGUCGCCAAGUGGCGGAGAUUAACCCUGGCUCCUGCUGGGUCCAAACUGUGCUAACCACAGUACUGAUAUCUCUGACUUCCCACAAAUGGGUCAGUUAUUGCUUCUAUGAUGGUUUGAAUUGCAGGCAUCAGACAAACAAUCUUUCUGUUUUUCACUUUUCAAAGCAGUAUCUGUAGUAGUCGUAUGAAUUAUUAACAGUUUUUUUUCCUUUUUUUUAUGUUAGACAAUUUUGUCUCACUGAAGGUACAAGCAUAAGUGCACACAACACAGCUAAAAUAGAGGAGGCUAGAUUACAGCGUGGGUUAGAUUUAUUAAUACAUUUUUUAAAAAAGAUUUUCUCCGCCUAUAGUAUAUAUGUAUGCCUGUAAGUGUUUUUGCCUGGAUGUAUGUCUGUGUGCCACAUGUAUGCUCAGUGCCUGUGGAAGGGGUGUUGGAUGCCCUGGAACUAGACUUAGAGUUGGUUAUCCACCAUGUGGAUUCUGGGAACUGAACCAGGGCCCCACAAGUGCUGCUAACUGCUGAGCCAUCUCUCUAAUCCCCAUUAUGGCAUUGUCAUACAUAAACAUAAUGUGUUCUCAUCACACUCACCCCCUCGACUGUCAGUUUAUUCUUCCUAACUAUCCUCCUUUCCACGUCCACGGAUUAUUUUUUCUUUUCUCUCUGUGACUCAUUGGUUUUCAUUGUUUCAGAAGUGUGUGCCCCUUGUCAGUGGCGGUGCCAUGAAGAAAAUGUUUCUCCCUCCACCAUCAGUCAUUAACUGUGAUACGUCUUCGUGGAAAGUGAGGCCUCACUAGCUCCCUCCCUUUCCUCGACAGAGGGUUGACAAAGCCAAUCUUACACAGAUCUUGUUCAGAUAGUCACAGCUGCUGAGUGUUAAAGGUACAGCAGCCAUGGCAUUCCCAGAAGUCAACAUUCCACACCACCACAAAGCCAUCAUGAAGCCAUCACCAAGCCACUACCCUGCCACCACCACUUCCUCUGGUUAUUAUUACAUUUUCCUUCUUCCACGAUGUUCCCUGAGCUUUGAAGUGGGUGAUACACAUAUCCCACUUAGGACUGGGCACUGAGUACUUAUCAGUGGACAAUCUCCUCACGGGCUUGUCCCGAUCAUAUGUCAGGUGUGCAAACCAUGACACCUCGUGACGUUUUUUACUGGCUUCAGAGAAAAUUUUCAUAGUGUAUCCUUCGUUUUUCACUUCCAGUAUCUGCCCCCUCAAGUAGCUUUUUACACACUGUUCCAACCAGUGGACAUGGGACAUCUCCCCACUCACUUAGACUCUUUGAUAUUUUUUCCUCAACAUCUCGUAGUGUUCACCAUGUGAGUUUGGCACAUGCUCUGCUGAUCUCAUGGCUAAGUGUUUGGCUUUCCUUUGAGCAAGGAAGAAUGGGGUUUAUACCAUUUUGCAUUUAGGAAGGGGUUGUUUCCCACUUGUCUGUUAUUGUGUUGAAGCAGAACUGAUUUCUGUGCGUUUCUCUCAUAAACUCACUGAUUAGUUUAGGAUGCAUUUUUGUAGAUUACUUGGGAUUUAGUUCUGUAGAUACUAAUAAUGCCAUCUAAAAUAAAGACAAUUUGUUAAUUUCUGAUCUAUAGUUGCUUUUUCGUUACUCUCCCUGGUCACAGUGCUAAAAGUUACAGCAAUAUAUUUACUGAAAAAAGAGUAGCCAGAGGCAAGGAUGGGGCUCAUUGCUGUAAUCCUAGCACUUGGGAGUCUGAGGCAUGAGAGUUGUCACCAGUUCCAAGCCUGGGUUAUAUAGUGAAUUCUAGGACAGCCUAGGGCUCCCGAGUGAGACCCUGCCU